AUACUUACCUGGCAGGGGAGAUACCAUGAUCAAGAAGGUGGUUCACCAGGGCCGAGGCUCAGCCAUUGCACUCCGGUUGCGCUGACCCUGCGAAUUCCCCAAAUGUGGGAGUCUCGACUGCAUAAUUUCUGGUAGUGGGGGGACUGCGUUCCGCGCUCUCCCCUG
ensembl:snRNA U1 U1 spliceosomal RNA